GACACGCUGGCGGCACGCUUAACACAUGCAAGUCGAACGAAGAAAUUUCACCGUAGCUUGCUACACCGAGAUUUCUUAGUGGCGGACGGGUGAGUAACACGUGAGCAAUCUGCCUUUCAGAGGGGGAUACCAGUUGGAAACGACUGUUAAUACCGCAUAACAUAAUUAACUCGCAUGAAUUAAUUAUCAAAGAUUUAUCGCUGAAAGAUGAGCUCGCGUCUGAUUAGCUAGUUGGUGGGGUAGAAGCCUACCAAGGCGACGAUCAGUAGCCGGCCUGAGAGGGUGAACGGCCACAUUGGGACUGAGACACGGCCCAAACUCCUACGGGAGGCAGCAGUGGGGAAUAUUGCACAAUGGAGGAAACUCUGAUGCAGCGACGCCGCGUGAGGGAAGAAGGUAUUCGUAUUGUAAACCUCUGUCUUCGGGGACGAUAAUGACGGUACCCGAGGAGGAAGCACCGGCUAACUACGUG
rnacentral:rRNA from 1 species